CAACUUCUCAAUAGAUCAUAUAAUUCACGAGCGGCUUCUAUCGCUCAGUAUUGUCGAGUGAAAGAUAAAGAUACAGUAGACACGUAUCGGUAUCUCUUUUCCGAGGUAUUUCGCUGAAUCAUUCAAGGAUAAAGGCGCGUUCGAAAUUUCUGCUGGGAAUCCUAAUAACAGCGUACGUCACUGAGCAGUCUUUUUUCUUUUUUUUUUUCUUGCGAAUAGAGUCGAACGGUCGAUAAUGAAGGAAAGUACUAUAAUUGAUUAUGCGAUUGUGCUAUUGAAGAAAAACGAUUUUACCGAUCGGACAAAUAUUUUUAUUUUAUAUUUAUAAUCAUUUUUUGAUUAAUGUCUAUGAGCUUUUAACUACACUCGUGAUAAUGCGCAUAAAUAAAUAAAAAAUAAAAAAACUCUGAGCAAAGUACAGAGUGUUAAGACGAUAAGAAUGAAGAAUUGGGGUUGCUCCAUCGAUCGACCGAAUUUCAGGCUCGAACUCGAGGGCAAUCGAGUGUCGAGCAAGAGAGAAUAAGGAAAAUAUAGCUGCGCCUGCGUAACUUGAUGAUAAUGACAAUACCAAUAAUAGUUGUGAUGUUAGGAAGAGGACGUCUUUCACGAAAUACAUCUCUUUUCCACUCUGUUUACCGUUUAUCACAUCUCGUGGAUUCGUCGAAUCAACGGGAUUAAGGUUGUUCGUCGAUCGAUUUCCGUUCGCUUCGGGCGCCGCUCGUUUAUAUAUCACUGAUGAGACUAUCGAGUGGAAAAUUUCAAUAAAAUCCCGGAACUUCGUCAGAGAGAGAGAGAGAGAGAACAUCGACAGUAAUCGAAGGCCGAACGAUAUAUGUACACAUAUAGAGGGUAGUUGGACAUGGAACAACACAAUCUUCUCUUAAUGUUUACUAGCCGAUCGAUACGAGGUGAAAAAUGAGACGUAGCCUAAAAAGAAAAAAAAUAAAAAGACAAUUGUAGCCGCUUCGUGCUACAACUUUUGUUUUCGCUCACUAGGUUAAAGUACAUAUAUAAAGUAUAAUACAUUUAUUUUCUUAUAACAUACGUCAAACAAAAUUAUAGAUCCUACAAAUAACAAUUGAAAUAUCAAAUUAAAAUAUAUUCAUUAGGCCAAAAUUGUGAAAAUACAUAAAAUUUGGAACAAUAGAAAUGCGCAAAUUUAAAUAAAGAAAAAAUGUUUUGAAAGAAAAUUUCUAACGAUUCAAGAUGGCGUUUAAGAUGAUAGAAUUAUUUUUCUAAUUCCUUAGAUUUUCUACUCUCAUAGAAUAUAUGAAUCGUUGUUCGUAGGAAAGGAUAGAGAAGAAAAAAUGAGGAUCGUAAUACUUUGACUUGUUUUUUUUUUUUUUAUACAAUACAAAGAAAGAAGAGAACGUUUCGAAACAAGUAUGAGUGUGGAUUGCGGUCGAAUAUCCCUUCCUCGUCGCAGCACCUCCUCCUCCCACAAAAGAUGGGGGCGUAGUGGGGUGUGGGACAACACGAGGAUGCGUUUGGAUCAACAGUUCGACCGCUCGCAGUCCUCUCGGAGAAGGAAAUACAUACGAUCAUGGACAUACGUGAAUGUGUCGUUGGUGGUUGUGUGUGUGUGUAUGUGAGAGAGAAAGAGAGAGAGAGAGAGAGAGAGAGAGAGAGAGAGAACGAAAGACAAAGAUAAAUCUCUGUAAAAAAAUCAGUUUUCAAUCAAUUUCAUGGUUAUUUUACGAAGAUGUUCCAGGAAUAAAAUGAAAAAGAAAAAGAAAAAAGAAAAAAUGGAACCGAGUUUGAAAUUCGAUAACAACUAAUAGGAUAUGCAAAAGCUUGUUACAGCAAAACGCAGAACUAUUGAAUAUAUAGUGUUGGACGUAUGCCGAUUGAUUUUUCGUCUAUGCUAGAAUCUAUAACAACGCAAAACGUGUUCGAAAAAUGCUCAAAGGUACAACUUUGAAGAAUAUCUCGAAACGGGGUAAAAGAAACAUGCGCUCGCUAUUCUUACCAUAUCCUUAAUAUCACGUGGAAAAGAAAUAUCGUUUCUCGAAUCGAGGGCGUGGUCGUGCCAAUUUUAAAACAUUCCUAUGUACAGAUAAUUUAAAGACAAAUCAAUGCGAAUCGAGUAAAAGCGAUAACGAAGCAGCUGUCCAUCUGUUUCUCGUGUGUACAGCAUAAAGUCAAAUAAAUAACAAGGUGACGGAUGUUCGUCAUUGUGGAUAAAGAAAAAGAGAUAGAGAAACUUGUGAGAGAGAGAGAGAGAGAGAGAGAGAGAGAGAGAGAGAGAGAGAGAAGCAAGCGAAGUCUGAGGACGAGAAAGGAUAAGAGGGUGGAGAUGUAGCAAGAAUGGGUGGGGAAGGAAAAGAAGAAGGGAGAGGAAAGGAGGGGAUGUAACCGCUCACGAGUCGACGCGAAAUACAGGUAUGGGCCGAUCCGUUAACCAUCAGGGAGCUCCAGGUACAAAGUUAACGGAAGAUUUCACGGCGGAGAGAGAGAGAGAGAGAGAGAGAGAGAGAGAGAGAGAGAGAGAGAGAGAGAGAGAGAGAGUGAGUAGAAGGGAAGAGAGAAGGGAGAACAUGGCCAUGAAGAAGGCGCGCAUGUCCCACAUUUUAGAAUCCUCCUGGAACGACAUUUCCGAUUCGUUUUCGAAGUCUACAAGGUGCUAAACGUUUUUUGUCGUCCGUCUCCGUCUCCUUGGUCUCUCUCUCUCUCUCUCUCUCUCUCUCUCUCUCUCUCUCUCUCUCUCUCUUUCUCUCUCUUCUUUUCAUUUUUUAAGAUAAAAAUUUUAACUUGCAUCUUGGUCGCGAUUACAAACGCGUUACGUGCUCUAUCUUCUAUCGAUGGAUCGAUAUUUAACUGUUUAUUCGGCUUAAUCUCACGGAACGUUAAUAAUAUUCCUUUUUAUGGUAGUUUCGUUUACUAUAUUGUAACGAGAGAGAUAAAUAAAUAAGAUACUGAUAGUCAAGUAAAAACUAAUAUUGAUAAGUGUAAGACGGUUCUGUUGAAAAAAAUUGAAUGUUCGAUGAAAUGUAUAUAAAAAUAUAGAUAUAAAAAUCUCGUAAAAUUUUAAAACGUUCAUUAUUAAAGAAAUAUUCUUUGAGAGCGCGCUCUUUUAGCGGCCCUCGGGAAAUACGUUUCUGCGCAUACGCACUGAACACUUAAGAAGAGGAGCGCACUGCUGACACGCACGAGUGCGUGCACUCAUCGACAGGUCAGGUCGGCCAUUUUCUUUCCGUCAGCUUGUAACCCAUCUCCCUCCCUCUACCCUCGACAACUCGUUUCCCUCCUCCACCAUACCAUCACCAGCCGCACACUAGCAGCACCACUCCACCACCGCCACUACUACUACUCUACUAUCUACUACACCACUCCACCACCGCCACUACUACUACUCUACUAUCUACUACACUACUAUUCUACUACCUACUACACUACUACUACUACUACUCUAUUAUCUACUACUACUACUCUAUUAUCUACUACACUGCUCUACUACCUACUACACUACUAGACUACUCUACUGCAAUACACAACUACAUCUACUCCAACCUCUCCUAACCCCAUCUCCUCUUGUCACCCUCUUGCAACGACCACUACCCUUCCGGCGACGCGACGACAUUCGUUCUCAUACCACGUUCGCAUUGGCGUCAACCUUGCUUUUUUUCCCCACCGAAUGUUCGAGAAUGCGACCGAUUUUCACCGACCAAUCAUGAACGAUCUUUGAUAGACAACGCGACGACGAAUCACUCAUCCAAUGGAAUUUCAAAACGUUUCCCUUUUCAUUCGAUUACACUUUGCUCUCUCGGGUAUCGUUACAACUUUGCUCGCACUCGUAUACGUAUUCCUUUCUUGCAACGACCACCGUUGCAAUAAAAGUGAUACAAUGUUGUUAGGAUAUAUGAUCCGAGCAACAACUUCUUCGACUCACUAACCCCACCAACUUGUCAACACGACUACCAGUCGUGUAAUAUUGUGGUUAUAUUUUAUCAGUAAUCCCCUUAUUGCUUUAAUGUGUAUUCGAGUUUAGUAAAUAUGUAUGUCCCUACAUGACAAUGUUGGAUGAAAUUCUCCGCAGAUAGAUAGAUAGAUAGAUAGAUAGAGAAAAAGAGAGAGAGAGAGAGGGAGAGAGAGAGACCGUUAUAUCCUGAACAUAAUAUUUCAAAAACCAUUACGAUAUUCUCAGAAAGUUUGCGGAACUUAUUCGAAUGUAAAUCAUUCUCUUCCUCUAUCUUUCUCUUUUCUAACUUCUUAAUAUCCCCGACGAAGAAUUUUUAGACGGCACGGAAGACAGCAAUGGUUGUAUUAAUACGAAUGCUCCGUGUGAACCUUCAUCCGCUCGAUGUUGUAUUAAUGCGGGUGUGUUAUUAACGAAGAAAGAAUCAAACGGUUUAUAUAGUUGGUAGCAUUAAGAAAAGCGGAUUUAUGUGUGUGCGCGUGUCUGAUUCUACCAGGGUUCCUCUCUUCCUAUUCCUAUUCUCGACAUGCCUGCAUUCUUCUUCUUACUGCUAUUAUUUUCUUUGAGAGUUUAAUUAACGAUAGAUCGAAAGAGUAUACAUAUCCUUGAGAAACUGAAUAUUUUUCUCGUAUAACCUAUAAUACACACUAUAUAUAUAUAUAUAUAUAUAUAUAUAUAUAUAUAUAUUGCAUACACACGCAAAACGUAUUUACAAAAAUUCUAUCAGUUGGGGUAUCAAAAGAUAGUGUAAAACGCGUAGUGUCGAAAGGAAGGCGUUCGACACACGUUCUCUUUGCUACGUUAAUCGAAGGUCGUUCCAUUCCGUUCCGAAUGAUCACCACCGUGUUUCAAUUUAGAAAGAAACUCGGAAAGCAAGUAGGCCGGAUCGAGAAAGACUUUGGACGUUAAGGAAUAAUAAUCGAUCGAUAUUAUUCGUGAUUCAAGAGCAAGAGAAAAUAUUCUUUUAAAGUAAUGGCAUAGUAAACUAUGUAAAAAUACAUUGUUAAAGAGAUAGUCGAAAGAUAUCAAUAAAGUAUGCUUUAAGUGCCGUCGUGACUUGUCCUACAUUAGGCUUUUAAUUACCAUCAUUUACGGUAUCCCUACUAACGGAAUCCCAUCCGUCCAGUAUUGGCUAUUAAGAC